GAGUUUGAUCCCUGGCUCAGAACGAACGCUGGCGGCAGGCCUAACACAUGCAAGUCGAACGGAUCCUUCGGGAUUAGUGGCAGACGGGUGAGUAACGCGUGGGAAGCUACCUUGUGGUAGGGGACAACAGUUUGAAAAGACUGCUAAUACCCUAUGAGCCCUAUGGGGGAAAGAUUUAUCGCCAUGAGAUGUGCCCGCGUUAGAUUAGCUAGUUGGUAAGGUAAUGGCUUACCAAGGCGACGAUCUAUAGCUGGUCUGAGAGGAUGAUCAGCCACACUGGGACUGAGACACGGCCCAGACUCCUACGGGAGGCAGCAGUGGGGAAUAUUGGACAAUGGGGGCAACCCUGCAUCCAGCCAUGCCGCGUGUGUGAUGACGGCCUUAGGGUUGUAAAGCACUUUCAGCAGUGAAGAUAAUGACAUUAACUGCAGAAGAAGCCC
rnacentral:rRNA from 1 species